CCCAGGACACAACUGCCUUUCUGGGCUGUGACUGCACAUUGUUGGGUCAUGUCCAUCUUCUCCAUCCUAAGUCCUUCUCAGCAGGGCUGCUCUCAUCCUGAAGCCUGUGUUGAUAUUGAGGAUUGUUCUGACUUAGUCCCUGUGGGUAAGGAAAAACUCCUGCUGCAGUCAUGACUGAAGCAGAUCUCUGACUUGGGACAACAUGUUGGCAACUGGGAUUUUUAAUUCAGUCCUUGUCCAGGCAAAUUUUUUUGGCUACCUUGAAUAAAAAAAGAGCUGUCAUACAGUUUUCCUGAUCUGGAAUCAACAAAUCAACAAGUUCCACUCUUAGAAAAAAUGCAUCCAGUGAUUGUUGAAGAAAUAUUUACUGUGUUCUUGAAAUGUACCAAGCCCUUCAACUAUGUGCAGCCAGGA